rnacentral:rRNA from 1 species
UCUGGUGAUUUGAGCGAUGUGGCACCACCUCUUCCCAUUCCGAACAGAGAAGUGAAACGCAUCAGCGCUUACGAUACUAAACACGAUAGGUUGUUUGGGAAAAUAGGUCAUCGCCAGGA